UGCGUAGGCGGAUUAAUAAGUCAGUGGUGAAAACCUGCAGCUUAACUGUGGAACUGCCAUUGAUACUGUUAGUCUUGAGUACGGUCAAGGUAGGCGGAAUGUGUAAUGUAGCGGUGAAAUGCUUAGAUAUUACACAGAACACCGAUUGCGAAGGCAGCUUACUGGACCAUUACUGACGCUGAGGCACGAAAGCGUGGGGAGCGAACAGGAUUAGAUACCCUGGUAGUCC
rnacentral:rRNA from 1 species